GCAAAUUUAGGAUUUUGACUGUUAAUUACUGAAAUUUAUUUUUUCCUCUCCAGUUUUUAGCUUCUCAAUGGAUUUGGAGUCGACUUAUGAGAUUGAUCGUGUCGCCGGAUUCAUAUCGGCGAGAGGUUUCCGACGAGUUGCUCUUCAGUUCCCAGAUAAUUUGUUGAAAGAUUCCACGAGGAUAGUUGCUGCUCUACAUGAAAAACUUCGCUCGUUCAGUCAGUUACAUGCUGGAAGGAAUGGAGAUGCAAAG
rnacentral:misc_RNA from 1 species